UAACGCGAAAAAUUAGACGAACGAGGCUCCCUCCCUCCCUCAAACCCUAGCUGCCCCUCGUCUCCCCGCCUCCAGCCGCACCCGCCGCCGCACCCCAAUCCCCGAUCUGUCGUCUCCACCUCACGACGACGCGGUUCACCCGCCGAUGACCCCCCUCCUCCUGCCCUCUCUCCGACCUCCCUCUUCGCACGACACUCAACCCUGCACGCACGACCUCCCCCUCCUCCUCCUCCCGCGCCAUUCGCUGCCCCGCAAACUCCGGUAGAACUCCGGCAGCCGCUAUCCGCCCUUCGCCGCGGGAGCCUCCGUAGGAGCCGCUCACCGCAGGAGCCGCCGCCCGCGGAAGCCGCAGCCCAAGCAGCCGCGGGAGCCGCUCGCCGCUGCAGCCGCCGCCCGCGGGAGCCACUCACCGCGGGAGCCUCCACGGGUCGCCGCUAGCCGGGGCCGCCGCGGGUCGCCCUUUGCCGCAGGUCGUCGCCGGAGCCGCCCCGCCCCUGGAUCCGCUCGCCGCCGGAGCCGCCCGUCGCGCUCCCACUCAGCUUGGCCUCCGCCCCGCCGCCCCCGGUCCUCAAGCAAGUAAGUUUGCCUUGCGUUCUGAAGCUCAACUAUUCCCAAUCUGCAGACUGGCUACCUUAGAGUUCUGAUGAACCGUCAAUUGGAUGGACUAGUAAAGCACGAGGGAGAAAGAUGUGGUUGUGUCCAGACUCCAAAGAGGGCAAAAUAGUUCAAUAAUUUCCGAAAUUGAUGGUAUUGCCUGAGAUAUGAUGCUUGCACACAAGAGAAGUUCGUGCUUGUGAUUGCAAAAUUGGUGUAUAUGUAAAGAUCUUGUCCUGGUUUCAUGAAUUGGAUGGGAUUUUUGGAAAGUCUCACUUGGGCAGGACAACUAUGGUCUUGAUUAUAUGUAUGUUGACUUUCCCACUUUUCUUUUGAGUAGGCUACUUCAAUUUUAGGUGAGCUGGCAGGGAUCACAAGCAUCGGUGUUGCAUUCCUGAAUCUCACAUACACAAGUAAGUAAUAUUCUCCCUCACAUAAAGUCCUUUAUUUGCAGUAUAGUGUUUUGCUCACUUUCUUUCUAGCUAGCUGCUGCAUUCAUUCCUUUCCACGGCACCGUAUAAUUCAUACCUCAGAGAGGUCAUUUUUGUGCAUGAUGUUCUGGUGUAACUACCAUUAUCUUUACUGGAGCAGAGCAACAUUUAAUAGGAAUUCCACCAUAAAUAUUUACCCAGAUACAACAUUCUUCUCUGGAAUUUGAGUUUUUUCCAGAAGGUUUAGGAUCUAAGGAUGAGCUAUCAGUGGUAUUGAUUAUACAACGAGUUUGUACAAAAUGUUCGCUGGUGUUGGGUGUUUACCUUUUAUCACUUCUAUAUCCCCUUAUUGUGUUUCUCUGUUUCUAGAAAGUAGGCCAUUUGUUCCAGGCUUUCAAGUUUGUGCCAUAACCUGAAGGAGAAAGAGUUCAUUAUUGACCAGCAGUUAAAAGCAGGUUCAGUUUUUUACCUCAUUUUCCAUCCCCCCAGUAGCACUUUCUGUUAGUUCGAACAAUAUCUCAAUGCAUUAUUUACACACCUAGCUUGUGCUCUGUGACCAGAAUUGGUAAACUGUAGCCGUGAUAGUACUACACUGUAUUCAGAAAUAGCAGGAGGAGAUAAAGCUAGGUGUUGCAUAUAGGCCGGUGGUGAACCCUUUUAGAGCUGACCUUCCUUCAAAGUUGGAUAUCAUCUACAGUAACCUCACCGGAUCCAUAGAUCAACUGAACAAACAAAAGGCACUUAAGAUCUUUACUGGUAUCCAGAAUGUGUUGUCUGAUCAUCUAAGCGAACUGGCCCACUAUGCUAAGGAAUUAGGACAGUUCAGUUACUUGAUCGGACAGUUUAGCAUGCAGAAAUUGGAAGUAGGCUUAGAAAAACACCACCAAGCUUGAAAGCAGAAAAAGAUGCACACCCUCACCAUUAUUAUCUUCCUGUGAUAAUUUUAGGCUUGUACCAGGAAACUUGAAGAGGCAAUUUUAGUCGGUGGUGUGCUUUAAAAUUUCAUAUUACUGUUCGGUGUUUCUCCAUAAUCGUGUCUUCUAUUUCUCCAUAACCGAGCCGCACGACCUCCGCCUUGACGAGCUGCUGGACCUAGGCCUCGACGAGACACCGGACCUCGGCCUCCCUCCGGUUCAUGCUGGAACAAUUUUGUAGAGACAAAUUGGAAGAGUGCAGCUGCCCUGGCUCAUGCAAUUGGAAGAAUUUAUGUUUUUUUCUACUCAGAAAGGAAGCUAUUUUUUUCUGGUCGUAGAUAGAAAGGAUGCAACUUUGUCAGGGGUAGUAGAUACAAAGUUUUCAGUGUCUACAACAUAUAAACCGGAAGCCGUGCUUCCGGUUUCAACAUAUAAACUUUUUUGGUCAUACAAUCUGAAAUUUUAGCAUUUCACAUAGACAACCUAUCAUUUGUGGUUCACCACAUUUACAUGCUCUGAUUCCCACGCUCAUGUGAAUAAGUAUAUGACAGAAAUUUCAAAGGAUCGUGUCAGUUAGAAUUAUCACAUGGGUACCCAUUUUUUUCCAUGAAAAUACCUCAUGCAAUGCUAUGUUCCAUAUUUUCUACAUUAUGAUAAGUUCGUAAUUUAUAUAUUGUUUUGACAUUAUAUUUUGUACUGAGACAUGCAGCCAUAUAUUCUAUUUCUGCUUCAAUAUAUUCUCCCAUGUGCUACUGAGACAUGCAGCCAUAUAGACAAUUGGCCCCCUUUUUUUGUACUGAGACAUGCAGCCAUAUAGACAAUUGGCCCCCUUUUUUUGUGAUAAUGAACUGCGUGAUUUAUGAUAGUCCUUGAUGAAAUGCCACUAAGUUAGUUUACUAUCUCAAGUCAGAUUCGAUAAUAAUUUAUUUUAUAUUGCCAUCUUUCUUGAUUACGUACCAUGUCGUUGCAGAUGAUCUCAGGUAAUCUGAUGCAUAAAAACAAAUUUUUGCUUAUUGUACAUGUCAUUAAUGAUAUAUAUGAGAUGUGAGAGAGACAGAAGCUAAUAUCUUGGUAGUAUAAAUCAUUAUUGGAAUAUGAUGAAGGUUACAAAAGAAUGUUUUAAUAUAACAAGAUGCAAGUACUUGAUUUAAAUGAUGACUCACUUUGCUUCUUUUUUUAGUAGAGCGUGCAGUAGGCCAGUCGACAGACUGCCGCUAGCUUCUAGAGUUCCAAUACAACUCUACAACUCCACGAGUAUUUAUUGAUUAUCUCUCUUCUGAUUUGUUGUUCUUUCUUAAUUGUCUUCCUCUAUCUGGUACCAGAUAUUUGCAGCAAAGUAUUUGUAAAAUUAUGUUUACUUAGAUCUAAUAUCUUGUUUCUUAAUUGCCUCCUUUUAUCCAUAACCAGAUGUUUAUAGCAGUUUCUGUAAAAUUGUGUUUACUUAUCUCGCGGAAAAACCUGUAACUCUCUUAAUUGUCAAGGGCACAUGUAGAAGCCAGUUUUCUACUUCAUGGUUAGAAUUGACUUCUUUUCUUGUAUUUGAAUCUAGGUACCAUGUUGCGAUUAAGAAAAACCUAGGUCUUAAUUGAUUGCUACUACUAUCAGUGCAAUUCUUUUUCUCAAAUCUCUUAACUAGAUUUAUUUAUAGUAGUUCAGUUCUUAAUGGAUACAUGUCGUUGUGCUUCAGACAUGUUGUGUGUGUGUGUUG